AUGUGAAAUGAGUUAUUUAAAAAUCAAAUUAGUGCAGUCCCAAUCAUAUGAUACUCUGUAAUGUGUAGAGAAAAUUCAAAAUUCAAGUAUAUGCAUUUUGUUUGUAAGGAAGCGAAUGAAAAUGAAAUAAAAUGUGAAAAUUGUUUCUUAUAUCCCCUAA